rnacentral:rRNA from 1 species
UGUUUCGGCUAGGGGGCCAUCCCGGCUUACCAACCCGAUGCAAACUGCGAAUACCGGAGAAUGUUAUCACGGGAGACACACGGCGGGUGCUAACGUCCGUCGUGAAGAGGGAAACAACCCAGACCGCCAGCUAAGGUCCCAAAGUCAUGGUUAAGUGGGAAACGAUGUGGGAAGGCCCAGACAGCCAGGAUGUUGGCUUAGAAGCAGCCAUCAUUUAAAGAAAGCGUAAUAGCUCACUGGUCGAGUCGGCCUGCGCGGAAGAUGUAACGGGGCUAAACCAUGCACCGAAGCUGCGGCAGCGACGCUGAUGCGUUGUUGGGUAGGGGAGCGUUCUGUAAGCCUGCGAAGGUGGCCUGUGAGGGUUGCUGGAGGUAUCAGAAGUGCGAAUGCUGACAUAAGUAACGAUA